GGGAGCUUAGUUAAGUGGCAUAACUGCGGUCUCCAAAACCGCAAUCGGGGGUUCGAUUCCCUCAGCUCCCG
rnacentral:tRNA from 1 species